rnacentral:rRNA from 1 species
UGGUGGACGACACCCGAGUAAUUGCCGCCGAUCGCACGGCCUCCGAGCCGGCGACACCUUCACUGAGUUUCUGAUCUAUCAUGCUGACGACGGUUGGUGCUAUGCCAACCGUGGCGUUAACGGAUAACAGAGAAUCUGGGUUCGAUUCUGGAGAGGCCGCAUGAGAAACGGCGACCACUUCUAAGGAAGGCAGCAGGCACGCAAAUUACCCACUUCGGACACCGAGAGGUAGUGACGAACAAUACCGAUGCGGCGCACUUACGUGUCGCCGUAAUCGGAAUGAGUACAAUUCAAAUCCUUUAACGAGGAUCAACUGGAGGGCAAGCCUGGUGCCAGCAGCCGCGGUAAUUCCAGCUCCAGCAGCGUAUAUUUAUAUUGCUGCGUUUAAAAAGCUCGUAGUUGAAGCGUCAGACGCGGGAGGGCGGACGGCCGCACAGGUCGCUCUCGCCCGACCGAGCCAGGCGCAGAGGGCGCGCGUCGCUUGCACUUCGCCGUGUGAGCGCGCCGCCGCUGCACGUUCACCUUGAAGAAAUUGAACCGCUUAGAGGGGGCGAGCAGCUUGAACAGCUCAGCAUGGUAUGAUGGAACAUGGGCUCGUACUCAUUUUGUUGGUUAGAGAGUUGGCGAGCCAAUGAUUAACAGGGACUGCCGGGGGCAUUCGUACUCGGACGGGAGAGGUGAAAUUCAAGGAUCGUCCGAAGACGCCCUACUGCGAAAGCAUUUGCCAAGAAUGUUUUCAUUAAUCAAGAACGAAAGUCAGAGGUGCGAAGGCGAUCAGAUACCGCCGUAGUUCUGACCGUAAACGAUGCCGACUGGCAAUUGGGCGCACUUCUGUCGAAGUUGCCGCCAGCAGUACUGCCCGGGAAACCAAAGUCAUUGGGUUCCGGGGGGAGUAUGGUUGCAAAGCUGAAACUUAAAGGAAUUGACGGAAGGGCACCACCAGGAGUGGAGCCUGCGGCUUAAUUUGACUCAACACGGGAAACCUCACCCGGCCCGAACACUGUUAUGACAGACAGGUUGAGAGCUCUUUCUCGAUUCAGUGGUUGGUGGUGCAUGGCCGUUCUUAGUUCGUGGAGCGAUCUGUCUGGUUAAUUCCGAUAACGAACGAGACUCUUGCCUGCUAAAUAGACGGCGCCGACACGGCACGGCGACCGUUUGCUUCUUAGAGGGACAAGCGGCUUUUAGCCGCGUGAAGCCGAGAGCAAUAACAGGUCAGUGAUGCCCUCAGAUGUUCGGGGCCGCACGCGCGCUACACUGUUUGCAUCAGCGUGUUACUCCCGCGCCGGCUGGCGUGGGCAACCCGUUGAACCGCAAACGUGCUAGGGAUCGGAGAUUGCAAUUGUUCUCCGUGAACGAGGAAUUCCUUGUACUGGCGAGUCAUCAGCUCGCGGGGAAUCUGUCCCUGCCCUUUGUACACACCGCCCGUCGCUACUACCGAUUGAGUGGUUUAGUGAGGCUCACGGACUGCGCGCGGCACACGGCGUCUUCGGGCGUCGCGUCGCGAGGCGGAAAGUGAGACGAACUUGAUCACU